UGCACAGAGGAUAGCUUGCUGAUGGCAU
rnacentral:misc_RNA from 1 species